AGCGAACGCUGGCGCCAGGCCUAACACAUGCAAGUCGAACGAACCCUUCGGGGUUAGUGGCGGACGGGUGAGUAACACGUGGGAACGUGCCUUUAGGUUCGGAAUAACUCAGGGAAACUUGUGCUAAUACCGAAUGUGCCCUUCGGGGGAAAGAUUUAUCGCCUUUAGAGCGGACCGCGUCUGAUUAGCUAGUUGGUGAGGUAAUGGCUCACCAAGGCUACGAUCAGUAGCUGUUCUGAGAGGAUGACCAGCCACAUGGGGACUAAGACACGGACCAAAUUCCUACGGGAGGUAGCAGUGGCGAAUCUUGCGCAAUUGGAGGCAGCCUGCCGCAGCCUUGCCGCGUGGAUGAUGAAGGUCUUAGGAUUGUAACAUCCUUUCACCGGUGAAUAUAAUGACUGUAGCCGGAGCAGAAGCCCCGGCUAACUUCUUGCCAGCCGCCGCCGUAACAC
rnacentral:rRNA from 1 species